AACUCUGUAGUUUAAAUAAAAUAUUAAGUUGCAAACUUAAAGUUAUAAAUUUUAUUAGAGUUU
rnacentral:tRNA from 1 species